GGGAAAAAUUUAAAGUCGGGCCUGCCCACUGAAAUUUUUGAAGGGCCGCGGUAUUUUGACCGUGCAAAGGUAGCAUAAUCAUUAGUCUUUUAAUUGAAGGCUGGAAUGAAUGGUUUGACGAAGUAUUAACUGUCUCUUUAUAAAGAAUGGAAUUUAACUUUUGAGUCAAAAGGCUUAAAUGAUAAUAGAGGACGAGAAGACCCUAUAGAGUUUUAUAUGAGUAAUAAAUAAUUUCAUUUUAGUUGUUGUAAAUUUUAAUUAUUAUUUGUAUUAUGUUGGGGUGACAUAAAGAUAUAAGAAACUCUUUAUUAUUACAAACAUAAAUUUAUGAAUAGAUGAUCCAUUAUUAAUGAUUAGAAGAUAAAAUUACCUUAGGGAUAACAGCGUAAUUUUCUUUGAGAGUUCGUAUCGAAAAGAAAGUUUGCGACCUCGAUGUUGGACUAAGAUAAUGGUUUGGUGUAGUAGCUAAAUUAAUAAGUCUGUUCGACUUUUAAAAUCUUAC
rnacentral:rRNA from 1 species